rnacentral:rRNA from 1 species
CUCCAGACUCCUACGGGAGGCAGCAGUGGGGGAUAUUGCACAAUGGGGGAAACCCUGAUGCAGCGACGCCGCGUGAGCGAUGAAGUAUUUCGGUAUGUAAAGCUCUAUCAGCAGGGAAGAAGAUGGCGGUACCUGACUAAGAAGCCCCGGCUAACUACGUGCCGGCAGCCGCGGUAAUACGUAGGGGGCAAGCGUUGUCCGGAUUUACUGGGUGUAAAGGGAGCGUAGACGGCGAUGCAAGCCAGAUGUGAAAGCCCGGGGCUCAACCCCGGGACUGCAUUUGGAACUGUGUGGCUGGAGUGUCGGAGAGGCAGGCGGAAUUCCUAGUGUAGCGGUGAAAUGCGUAGAUAUUAGGAGGAACACCAGUGGCGAAGGCGGCCUGCUGGACGAUGACUGACGUUGAGGCUCGAAAGCGUGGGGAGCAAACAGGAUUAGAUACCCCAGUA